ensembl:lncRNA
CACGGCUAGUUUUACCCAACACAUAGACACGGCUAGUUUUACCCAACACAUAGACACGGCUAGUUUUACCCAACACAUAGACACGGCUAGUUUUAGACACGGCUAGUUUUACCCAACACUUAGACACGGCUAGUUUUACCCAACACAUAGACACGGCUAGUUUUACCCAACACUUAGACACGGCUAGUUUUACCCAACACAUAGACACGGCUAGUUUUACCCAACACUUAGACACGGCUAGUUUUACCCAACACAUAGACACGGCUAGUUUUACCCAACACAUAGACACGGCUAGUUUUAACGUGAUAUUGCGCUCCAAAGGGAUAACUUUAAAUGACAUGUAGGUUCAUGAAAUAAUUGAAAGAGAACUGUGUGAUGGUUUAUUAGCCUAGUGCUUGUAAGUAUUAAGGAAAUCAUUCUCCAAAGUACAAGGUGUACAUUAUUAUGGGUUGAUCGUAUAGAAAUAUCAAACAUUCUUUCAACUCCAAAGCAACAGCCUGUCUAUGGUGCAGGAAGCACUGCCCUUUUCUACGACCAAGACAUCUGUUGGUAACUCUAAGCUUGUUAGGACAGCUCAUGGGGUCUCCUAAAUAUCUCUUGACUAGGUGGGGGACUGUUAUGACUAAAUAAGCUUCCUGCAUAGCUUUUAUUGUUACCCAUAAGAGUAGGAGUGAAAUGUCUCUUAGCACCUACGACCAAAUGUUUUACUCUGAGAUGCUUUGUGGAUACAGCCCCAAGGCGCAUAUUCAACAAGUGCAUCCGAGUAGGAGAUCUAGGAUCAGGUCCUCCCUGUCCAUAUAAACCUUGUGCAUUAUGAUUUAAAAGCCAAACUGAUCCUAGAGGCUCUUUGUGAUAUAGGCCCAGAAAGGGAUUGUGAUCAUUAUGUGGCUCAAGAUGUGGAUCAAUAACAAAUCAUUUACUUGAUAGAAUUCCUUUGUUUUGUUCAAUCAAACGGAGGCACAAGUAGAUUUGGUUUAAACGUAACACUGAGACAUCAGCUGUCCCGAACUGAGACAUGGAAAAUGUGUCAUUGAGCUGUUGUCUGUUCUGGUUUCUUUUUAUUCUGGGGUCAUGUCAUAUUUUCACAGGUAUGAUUCUGAUUGAUGGCUUUUAUAUAGGUCUGCAGACCUCAGCGUUUCUUAUUGGACAAGACCAGGUAGUCCCUCCCUGUUUCAGUCCAUUUUCUACCAUUUGCUGCCUAAUGAAUAGGGGUCUCUGUUCCAGUAUCCUUUAAUGUCACUAUAGCAUACCACUUAGAAUGUAUGCCCAAUAAAAAUGUACGUUCUAAGUAGUGUGUAAAUUUGGACAUCGGUUGAAGCGUCCUACACAGGCUCUGCAGGAGUUCACCCAGGUCCUACACAGGCUCUGCAGGAGUUCACCCAGGUCCUACACAGGCUCUGCAGGAGUUCACCCAGGUCCUACAGGAGUUCACCCAGGUCCUACACAGGCUCUGCAGGAGUUCAGCCAGGUCAAGUCGGGCACCACGUCUUUGACCUACAACCAAGCAGACUCAGCCAAGGGAGGAAAAGCAUGCAGACAGUUUUUUUGCAUAAUACAAGCAGGUUGAUGUGUGUAAUCUCUGGAUAAUCUGUAGCCAUUUUAGUAUUCUUCUCAGUGACAACUCAGCCUCCUGCAAUCCUCCCAACAAUAGACAAUCAACCGAGAAUGUCUCUAUGUACCCAUAUGUCUCUCUACCACCAGUAGUGUAUUGUCCAUGUCAUGUAAUAAAAUGGGGUCAUAUAUUGGGGGGUGUAUUUUACAUGGAUCUGCUUUGAAACACUACGCACGCCAUCAUGAUUGAGGUCCUUAUUUUUUCUAAAAGAGUUAUUGUAAAUAAAGAACCAUGAGUGCGGUACAUGUCUCAGCUGAUCUUUUAAAACUUGUCCUGUAUUCAUAAACCGUC